GAUCACACUUUUUCACAGCUCAGAUUGGCAUGUUGGUGAACUUAUUAGCUUAGAUUUCACGUUAUUCAUGCCUACAUGAGCUGCAUACAACUGCUCUAAUCGGUAGGAUGUGGACGGACAUUGCAUUCAUUCCCAUUCAGCCGUUGGACUGAACCGGUACUGUAACACAGUAUGGAUGGUCAAUAUGAAGCGAGCUUCAUUGAAUUCCUCCAAGAGCUCUGUACUCCGUUUUGCUCAUUUUGAAGAUGGUUGCUUUGACAGGACUGGGCAAGUGACUCGUCUUAGACAGGAUGCUUUCCCAACCAUAUUUGAUUUCCUGCCUCGUCUUCAGAAGAUUCCCAUUCAGCCGUUGGACUGAACCGGUACUGUAACACAGUAUGGAUGGUCAAUAUGAAGCGAGCUUCAUUGAAUUCCUCCAAGAGCUCUGUACUCCGUUUUGCUCAUUUUGAAGAUGGUAGCUUUGACAGGACUGGGCAAGUGACUCGUCUUAGACAGGAUGCUGUCCCAACCAUAUUUGAUUUCCUGCCUCGUCUUCAGAAGAAUUUACCCAAGCCAAGGAAUUCCCCAAAAGAAAGACGUUUUGAUUCAGCAAACAACCUCCCAGAUACUGCAAAGUCUUCAGCACCUUCAUUUCUCGAGGACCACUCCUACUCAAUAUCAGAAAGUCCAAGAGGGGUAAAGUGGAAGAUAACAGCAAUAAUGGACUAUUAAAAACUUGGAGAAGAGGCUGAAACCACACAGCAGAAGUCCCGCCGUGUACAUUACUUGCUCUUAAGUUUGGACAAACAUGACUCGCAAAACUUUACAACAAAUAAUUUACGCUAUGUGCAUUCUGAUUAUUUAAAAUAGCUCAAUGAAAAAGUUUACCACUGGGCAUGUAACAAAAGUGCAUUCAUUAAAUUUGAACGUGUUGCAAAAA